CGCCCGGCCCCCGAACGGCGGAUGGCUCCGCUCGUGCCGAGCGGGUGACCUGCAGCAAGGCCUCCGGGGGGAACAAGUAAACCCCUUCCCCAGCCUGCUCUGAGGUGUUGCGCUUGCCUGUCAGCGCGCGUGGUGUGAUUGCAAGGGGCUUAGCUGUGGCGAUUACACCUCUGUUGAAGUUUGGGGCUUUUAAGGAGGCUUUUUUUUUCUGUUCACAGUUAAAAUGUUCCAGAUUUGUGAAAAUUCCCUUGUAUUGGAUGCAGUUUUGUUUUGUUUUGUUUUUUGUGAUGCAGAAUUUUAUUUAUUACUGGAGGGAGGAACAGCAUCUUCACUCUAUUAUUGCAGAGCAACAAAUACUUAACUAUAAAGAGAUGCAACCCACAGAUAGUUUUAUGUGUGGAACUGAGUGCCUGAACUUCACAGGAGGCUGUUUAAAACCACUAAGGAGACAGCUGUGCUUUGCACAGACGUGUUUCGACGCUGCGGGCCUAAAAGGAGGAGUUGGUGGUAACAGGUUCUGUGAGCAGCUGGUGACUGGAACCUCUCCUGUCCGGGGUUCGGAGAAGGGUGGAUUGAGACUCCUCAUGAAUCUCUCUGCUCCACCUCCGUUAGUAUUAGCAGCAGCAGGGAAGGAUUAA
rnacentral:lncRNA from 1 species